CAUCUACUCCCUCCGUUUCAAAUUAUAGGUUGUUUUAGGUUUUCUAGAUACAUAUGUUUUUGUAUGUAUUAUGUCUAGAUACAUAUAAAAACAUAUGUAUCUAGAAAAUCUAAAACGACCUAUAAUUUGAAACGGAGGGAGUACUAA
rnacentral:pre_miRNA from 1 species